rnacentral:rRNA from 1 species
CUACGGGUGGCUCCAGUGGGGAAUAUUGGACAAUGGGGGAAACCCUGAUCCAGCAAUGCCGCGUGUGUGAAGAAGGCCUGCGGGUUGUAAAGCACUUUCGGUUGGGAGGACUGCUUCUAGCACUAAUAUUGUUGGAAGUUGACGUUACCUUCAGAAGAAGCACCGGCUAACUCCGUGCCAGCAGCCGCGGUAAUGCGGAGGGUGCAAGCGUUAAUCGGAAUUACUGGGCGUAAAGCGCGCGGAGGCGGCUAGAUCAGUCGGGUGUGAAAGCCCCGGGCUUAACCUGGGAACUGCAUCCGAUACUGUCUAGCUUGAGUACAGGAGAGGAGAGUGGAAUUCCACAUGUAGCGGUGAAAUGCGUAGAUAUGUGGAGGAGCACCAAUGGCGAAGGCAGCUCUCUGGCCUGAUACUGACGCUGAGGUGCGAAAGCGUGGGGAGCAAACAGGAUUAGAUACCCCCGUAGUC